rnacentral:lncRNA from 1 species
AGAUAUAUGUGGCAGACAGUUGAGUAAAUGUGGUCAAUAUUAAGACUUCCACAAUUGACUCAUGUGGUUAAAAUUGAUUUUUUAAACCUAUAACCCAUUAUGAGUAUGCAUUUAACCUAACCAAACUCAUACAGUGGGUUUUGCAUUUUUGUGUGGCUUGGAUUUUCUGUCUGUUGUCUACCAAAUGGUAAGAAUGGAGAAGUAGAGCUCUUCUUGGACAAUACGUAUGAGACAGUAGUGAAAGAAGACCUUUGCUUUGUUUUCUUCCUUUUAUUUGUUGUCUGUAAUGUGUUUCAGAGUCACCUCACUUAUUUCUUAUGACCACUGAUGAGAAGUAUGUCGUUUUCUGGAAUGGAGAAGAUGAAAUUCAGCCACGGGGUUCAGGUGGAGGGCAUCUGAAAUGUUCUGAGGAAGCGGCAGCAUGGAAAUCUCUCAUUGCACCAGCAACUGACUUUUCCACAGACACAGAGGUAGAAAAUUACAAUUCCUCUCCACCCCAUCCUGCACUCUUACGGGAUUUAAGGAAUUCCUGCUCCACUUUCCACACAGACCCGGUGUCGUUCAUGCUGGUGCCAAAUUGGACACAAGGGGGCACCGAAGUGCCACAAAUUUUGCCCUGGGACCUUUCUCCACUUGCAAAUUCCCAUCAACAAGAGAAGGCCAGGAAACUCUGGGCCUUCAGGAGCAUUCUUCCCAGCUUACUUAGUAGAGGCAUUGCCAUGGUUGUUGGAAUCAUAAAAGAUUGCCCACAGUUUGUAUUUGCCCUAGUGUCCAUUUUGGUGCCAGUUUGAAAGUACUCUACCAUGGUGGUUGAAGCUCCC